UUGAACUUAGAGAUAUGUGGCCUCUGCCU
rnacentral:piRNA from 1 species